GACGAACGCUGGCGGCGUGCUUAACACAUGCAAGUCGAACGGAAAGGCCCUGCUUUUGUGGGGUGCUUGAGUGGCGAACGGGUGAGUAACACGUGAGUAACCUGCCCCUGACUUUGGGAUAACUUCAGGAAACUGGGGCUAAUACCGGAUAGGAGCUCCUGCUGCAUGGUGGGGGUUGGAAAGUUUCGGCGGUUGGGGAUGGACUCGCGGCUUAUUAGCUUGUUGGUGGGGUAGUGGCUUACCAAGGCUUCGACGGGUAGCCGGCCUGAGAGGGUGACCGGCCACAUUGGGACUGAGAUACGGCCCAGAGUCCUACGGGGGACAGCAGUGGGAAAUGUUGAACACUGGGCGGAAGCCGGAUGCAGCAGCGCCGCGUGCGGGAUGACGGCCUUCGGGUUGUAAACCGCUUUCGCCUGUGACGAGGCGUGAGUGACGGUAAUGGGUAAAGAAGCGCCGGCUAACUACGUG
rnacentral:rRNA from 1 species